AUCCUUUGACCAUCCUAGAGAUAGGAUUUUCCCUUCGGGGACAAAGUGACAGGUGGUGCAUGGUUGUCGUCAGCUCGUGUCGUGAGAUGUUGGGUUAAGUCCCGCAACGAGCGCAACCCUUAUUGUUAGUUGCCAUCAUUCAGUUGGGCACUCUAGCGAGACUGCCGCAGACAAUGCGGAGGAAGGUGGGGAUGACGUCAAAUCAUCAUGCCCCUUAUGACCUGGGCUACACACGUGCUACAAUGGAGAGUACAACGAGUCGCAAAGCCGCGAGGCUAAGCCAAUCUCUUAAAGCUCUUCUCAGUUCGGAUUGUAGGCUGCAACUCGCCUACAUGAAGCCGGAAUCGCUAGUAAUCGCGGAUCAGC
rnacentral:rRNA from 1 species